UACGUAGGUGGCAAGCGUUGUCCGGAUUUACUGGGCGUAAAGAGCGCGCAGGCGGUCGUAUAAGUCGAAUGUGAAAGCCCCCGGCUCAACUGGGGAGGGUCAUUCGAUACUGUUCGACUCGAAGGCAGGAGAGGGUAGUGGAAUUCCCGGUGUAGUGGUGAAAUGCGUAGAUAUCGGGAGGAACACCAGUGGCGAAGGCGGUUCUCUGGGCCUUACCUGACGCUGAGGAGCGAAAGCGUGGGGAGCGAACAGG
rnacentral:rRNA from 1 species